rnacentral:tRNA from 1 species
GGGUAAUUAACUCAAUAGGUAGAGUGUUUCGUUUACAUUGAAAAAGUUAAUGGUUCAAGUCCAUUAUUACUCA